rnacentral:misc_RNA from 1 species
GGCGCGGCACCGUCCGCGGAACAAACGG